UUUAGGCUGUCGGAGAGAAACAACACAAAACAUUAGCAGUUUGUAGGAGCCUUCCCGGGCCGUGUUCCCGACACCCUCCUGUUCUUCACGUGGCCCAGACGUUCCGGAACGUGCUCCAUUCAGACACUUGCUUGGUAAGAUUACUCCCUUCCAGCUGUCGUCGCUCUAUGAACUGGGUCUCACUAAGGUCACCAAUAGCCUCUAGGAGCCUGAACUUCAUGACCUUGUCUCAGGCCUUGUCUGUCCCGUCCUUCACGGGCGUUUGGCUGUUCUCUCCCCUGCCUCCUUGAACCACCACAUUUGCUCGGCUUGAUUUCUUGCUCUCUGGUUUUCUCCUGUGUCUGCCACUUCACCUCCGUCUCCUCUCCCAUGUUCUCCCGCACGUGGCCUCUAGAUACUGGAUUUCCUCUAGACUGGGGGCUUGGCCCUUUUCCCCAGCUGACCUCAUCCCUACGUGAGUGGACCUGCGGCCCAGACCUCUCCCGUGUGGCUCCACUUACUUGACAUCUUCACUUGGACGCCACCCAGGGACCCUGGCUCAGCGCACGGGACCACUCUUUAUCCACCUGUGCAAGGUAGCGACCUGGGGGUCGGCCUUGACCCCCUCAUCUUCGUAGUCUAUCACAAAGUUCUAUCUUAUUCCCUAAACAUCCCCAGAGUGCCUCCCUGGGACCUUUCCACGUCCUCACCACCACCAUGGUGGUCUGAGUGCCAUCGUCUCUUCUCUGGAGCGCUGCAGUGCCCUCCUGCCUGGUCCCUUUACAUGUACUCUUCUGGCCUCUUCAAAUCCAUUUUCCUGGAGGAGCCAGAAUGGUCUUUGUAAUGCAAAUCUGAUCAUAUCCCUCUUUGCUUCACACCCCUCCACGACUUGCCACUGCUUUUAGGAUAUAGACCCGAAUACGUGGCACGACCCACAGAUCUCUUAUGGUCUAGUCUACCCCCUCUCCUCUGCCCCCUGUUGCCCCUUCUCCUGCACCGUCUGAACCCCAGGGCCCACGGACAUCUUGCCGUUUUUCAAGGGCACCAGGCCCCUUCCUGCCUCCGAGCCUUGGCAUUAUGCUAUUCCCUCUACCGGUCAGCCAAUCAGACCUUCACAUUUACUCGGCUGAAUUUUGUCUAACAGACUUGGUGGCAGCAUUGGGAUCUGAAGCGAACUUCCUCCGGCCUCCGGGGCCAAGAAGACCCACAGGCAGGGCGCCCUGCCAGCGUGCUUCUGAGUUCAAGAGAGACAGGAGGAGACACAGAAUCAGAAGCAGGCUCCAAGCUGUCAGCACAGAGCCCGACGUGGUGCUUGAACCCAUGAACCGUGAGAUCAUGCCCUGAGCCCAAGUCGGUCACUUAACCUACUGAGCCACCCAGGUGCCCUGACCUGUCGAUUCUUCAUGGAUUCAUUUAUUGUCUCUUUGUCUACAAAGUAGAAAAACUGCCUGCCUUGGCCAUUUGGGCCCACUGUGCACUCAUAAUAAAACUCUGUGGUUUUUUUCCCCUGGUUAA